CGCUGGGAUCACGGCGAACGCUUCCUCCUGGCGCUGAGAGCCGGCCCAGCUCACUGCGCAUGCUCACUUCGCGCCCUGCCGCAGGAGAUGCUUCCGCUCCGGGUUUUCCGCAGAGCCGGACCCGACAAGGACAGCCGGGAGCCAGCAGCAAGAACCAGUAGCGAGAGCUGGGGUCAGGAAAAAGAUUAAAAACCUUGGACCAAGGCAGCAGAGUAGAUAAAACACGCCCUGGACGUGGAGGAGCCAAAGGUUCUGGUUAGUAUCAACCGUCCAGACCGGAAAGAUCGAGGUGCAGAUAAGGAGACAGUUUGUUUGGGAUUGGUCCAGUUUAAAGCUACCAACGAGCCACCUAAAGCAAGUCAUCAGCUGUGCACAAUGGAUAUGAUCAGAGGUCCGAGCUGUAGAUGUUUUUAAACUGAGGCACAGAAAAGGUACACGAAAGCUUUCUACUGCAUUUGGCUGUUACAUAAGAGGCUAAAUUGACUUCUAGGUUCCUGUUGGCUGUGUGGCCCAGAAGCGCAGCUCCAGAACCAGUUCAAGUCCCGGGCACAAGACAUUCUCUAACUGGCCCAGUCUCCAUUACGACGCUCUUACGGAGGGCCGGAGGCCACGGCCAGUACGCAGCAAGCGCGGCAUGCUGGGAGUUGUAGGCCGCGCCCAGGCGCAGGCGUAAUUUCCUCCAAGCCGGCGUCAGACCCGCGGAGCAGCGGCUCUGAAAUCGCAGAUCCUUACUUUGUCGCUUGGAACCAUUUAGCGAUGAUUUCUCUUCAAGUCAGGGAUAAAUAAAUAGUCCUCCAUGUGACUUUCA